rnacentral:rRNA from 1 species
GAUGAACGCUGGCGGCGUGCCUAAUACAUGCAAGUCGAGCGAACAGACGAGGAGCUUGCUCCUCUGACGUUAGCGGCGGACGGGUGAGUAACACGUGGAUAACCUACCUAUAAGACUGGGAUAACUUCGGGAAACCGGAGCUAAUACCGGAUAAUAUAUUGAACCGCAUGGUUCAAUAGUGAAAGACGGUUUUGCUGUCACUUAUAGAUGGAUCCGCGCCGCAUUAGCUAGUUGGUAAGGUAACGGCUUACCAAGGCAACGAUGCGUAGCCGACCUGAGAGGGGGGUGGGCCCGACUGGAACUGAGACGCGGUCCAGACUCCUACGGGAGGCAGCAGUAGGGAAUCUUCCGCAAUGGGCGAAAGCCUGACGGAGCAACGCCGCGUGAGUGAUGAAGGUCCUCGGAUCGUAAAACUCUGUUAUUAGGGAAGAACAAAUGUGUAAGUAACUAUGCACGUCUUGACGGUACCUAAUCAGAAAGCCACGGCUAACUACGUG